ACGGGGUGCAGCAGGCGCGAAACCUUUACAAUGCACGAAAGUGUGAUAAGGGAAUUCCACGUGCAAGCUAUGCUUGCUUUUCUCAAGUUUAAAAUCCUUGGGGAAUAAGGGCUGGGCAAGACCCGUGCCAGCCGCCGCGGUAAUACGGGCAGCUCUAGUGGCGUUCGCGAAUAUUGGGCCUAAAGCGUACGUAGCCUGUUAAACAAGUUCUUGGUGAAAGCUUGCGACUUAAUCGUGAGAAUUGCCAGGAAAACUGUUCGACUUGGGACCGGAAGAGGUCGGAGGUAUUUCUUGGGUAGGGGUAAAAUCCUGUAAUCCUUGAAGGACCAUCGGUGGCGAAGGCGUCCGACUGGGACGGGUCCGACGGUGAGGUACGAAAGCUAGGGGAGCGACCCGGAUUAGAUACCCGGUUAGUCCUAGCCGUAAAUGAUGUCUGUUUGGUAUUGCUGGGCUUACGAGGCCUCGCAGUGCCGUAGGGAA
rnacentral:rRNA from 1 species